rnacentral:lncRNA from 1 species
GGCGCCGGUGGGAGGCAAGGCACGGAUGGACUUUACCUGCGCACGCGUCGCAGCCAUCUCCGCGCACAGUGGUGGCCACCGCGACUGGUGCUGAAGUGUUGGCGCGUGCCGGGCGCUCCGCUGGGACCCGGGUUGCUGGCCCUGAGUCUCAGCUUUCUCAUCUGUACGGUUGGGACAAGUACAGUAACCCUCGCCCGUCAAGACGGGCCAGGGCUGUGGCGAGGGUCCACGCCUUAGAGCAGGUACCUAUCUUGUGCAGGGCCCUGAGAUGGGGUCUGACUCAGUUCCUGCGGGGAACUUCACCAGUGACCCAGUCAGUGCCCUUCAGUUAAAGACCACCAGGAGCACACUUGCAGGAGUAGGGCUGAUUGGAGCCAUUGUACAGUGUCGGGAACAUACCAGGACACUGAGAAUAGUGUCAUGUCAUAAGGACCCAGAGCAGAUGGACCCUGCUGUGAUGCACAAAGGUGAGGGUGCAGCUGCCCAGGACACACUCAUGCAUGUUUGUGUGGACCAUGGAAGAUGGCAGGGGAAGAGCUGUCAGGUUGUUGGGGCAGAGGGUGCGCAUGAGUACUCGCCUGAGCUGGGCUGCUUGGAUCAGAGGUUCCAUGGUCUGAACUACUCCACUCUGGUGAAGGUUUCUUCCCCAAAGCCACUCCUCAAGCUGACUUAUAUUGUACCUGAGUUGCAUGCCUGUGCUCCAAGAGCAGACGUCCUUCCGCAGGAGCAGGUCAUUAAGAGUCACUGCGUUGAUCAUGUAGAAGAGCUGUUUGAAUACCUGCAGGAUGAUCUCAGGGUCCAAGCCCUGGUCACACAUGACUGUAUGAAAGGCAUUCAUCUGGCGGAUGAUAGCUUCCAGGCGGUAUGAGUUAUCCCCAUCUGCCAUGCUGGAGGAGUGCUUCUGGGAGCCAGUGGGCUUCACACCAGAUAGACCCUGAAUGCUGUCAUUUUCCAACAUGGCAGAAACUAUCAUCGGCUGUAACACACCCUCGGCAAUUUUAAAGAGCUGCUGGUAGAUCUGAAUGGAAAGGUCGCUCAGUACCUGACGGUAUUCGGUGAGGUCAAAGUUCUUAAGGCAGUGUUCGUUGUGCUUUGCUGUAUUCUGAGUCAUGAAGCCCUCAUCCCCGCUGUACCGCUUCAGACAGUGAAGAAGGUGGCAGGUGUUGGAUAACAGGAAUGACGUCAUCUCAAAGUCAUCACUGUGCUUCUUCAGGACUUUCUUAAUGCCGUUGGUGGUGGAGGUCAUCAGGGAGUGCACCUUGAGAUCAUCGUUGGUUUGGUCCGCGAGCCGAAUGCACAUGUAGAGGAUGUAGGCGGAGAGACAGGGCACUGUGUCCAACAGCAUCUGGGGCUUCAAGUCUGUCACCAGGUUGAGGAUGAGGAGGGCCUCGCCCUCUUUGCGGCACUCCAACAUGCCCUGGAAAUCCUUUUCUUUCCACUGAACUGGGACCUGCCUGUUGAACUCAUGGCGCUUCCUCUCACUCUGGGCCAACGCCUGGGCAGCUUCUUCAUGUAAAUCUUCAGUUGCUUUUAGAGCUUCCUCUCAUUCUUUUCCUCUUACUUUAUUUUUCACCACAGAGCUUCCUAUCAACUAGUAUGUUGAAUAUUUUGCUUAUUAACUUUGUUUAUUGUCUUCUCCCUCGAUUAGAAUAUUAGCUACUUGAGUACAAGGAUUUGAGCCUGUUACAUUCACUGCUGAAUUUUAGGCUCCUGGAAGAUACCCAGCAUUC